GAAUGAACUAGGGUGACACUUAUAUCUUAGGAGAGCCGAAGAAAUGCAAGAGUCAGUUAUAACUAGGGGAGUCACAGAUCUCCAGCAACAGAGGGAAGAAGUGGAUACUGGAUUUACUCAACUGUGAAAUGGGAACAAAAGCCACCUUCCUGAUCUGUUCUGCCAAUCGGGCCCAGGCACCAAACAGGAGCACGACCACAGCUCCUACUGCCGCGUUCAUCAGCAGCAUCACUGCGGCAGCGCCGUGGCCUCUGUAAAUAGCAGCUUGCUGGAACUGGAGUUCUGUUCGGGUCAACAAACCCUCCCCAGCACGUGGCAGGUGUGCCUGGCGCUGGACUGGGUGUUGGGCACAAGAGACGAAGGAGAUGAAAGAGGCAUCUCUCCUGCCCUUAAAGAGACAGAGCAGCAGAGACAAGGCAAGGCGAUGACUUCACCCCAGUCUAGUAACUGCAAACAAAGCGAGCUGCGAGGGACUGUGAAAGCCUGGACAAGGGGCUUCAAGGAAGAGACCUCAAUUUAAAACAAAAACAAAAACCUGCUUGCUGCUGAGCUGGCCUGACUCCUCAGUAACUGGAACUCUUUGUUUUUUGAAUUUUUAUUGGGCUGAUCAGCAUGGAGGCCAGUGGGAGCAGGCUUGUGGUGGUGAGUGAUGUCUCAACAGGCUUGAUGCUGCCCAGCUGUCCACACCCGCCAUCACCCUCUCAAAGGUGGGGACAGCCACACACAGCAAGAGAUGUGAGCAAGGACUCAUAGAAGCCAGCUGCCGCCUUCAAGAAAACAUCCUUAUGUGGAGCUGUGCCUUGACUUGCUUAGGGGACCUCCUUCUUGGAAGCUUCCAAGAAACUACAAGUUGCCUUUGGUAGUAGACUGGAGCAGGUGAAGAACUGAAAUGAAGCAGUUAAAUCCAGGCCCUGGCGGUCGUCGUCCCCUCAGACCCAGCUCCCUGGAUCUUGAGACACUUUUGUGUGGAGCCACACCAGCCUCAUGUGCCACCGGCACAGGUCCUGAGGAAGCAGACCCAGCGUCGGCCAAAGGAAGGAAGUCUGACCAGAGAGGUGGAGCAUGGGAGGUGGAAAGUCUGGUGCUGGAAGAGGUGCUACGACAUGCAGACUGACGGUCUCUGGAAGCCAGCAGUCACGCUGACAUCUGUCCUGGCAGCUAAUGAACAGGCACUCGUUCGUUAACCAGUAGCCCUGCAGAGGUCAAGGAUGGUAACGCACUCUGUGACUAGCGUCAGUGGGAAGCCAUUAAUACAACUGGCCGUGAAGGGGCAAGAGAAGGAACAGUUAGCAGAACCCCCUGAGAGCUGUGGCCAGUGGAUGGGGCCACCUGACAGACGCGCUGAUUUGGGUACCAACAUUAGGUAGAAAGAAGUGGCUACAGCUGAACUGGCAUGGAUGGAACUGAGAGAGUGAAUAAUCUAACCGCUCUCUUCUUCCAUCUGACCUUUUGCGGGUGCCUUUCAUUGGCUAAGCCCAACCAGAAGUCAGAGGGCACAGGAAACCUGGAGAUGCCAUCUGUAGAGGUCAGCCUCCUAGGGCACAAGGCAGGGUGGGGAUGAGUGAAAAGUGGCCUGGGAGCAGGCUGGGAAAAUGGAGAAUGUCUAAGACAGAGGUGAGUUUAAGACUAAGAUCAUAUUAGCCUGCCCUCGAGGACCCAUAUCCUGGUGGGAACUUGCACAAGGCACUAGGACUUCAGGAUUCUUCUCGCUUUUGUUUCCCUCACUACACCCACUUCCUUAUCUCAAACAAUUGGCUACCUGGAAACUGCUAGAUGCUUUGGGGGAUGAGACAUAAAGGUGGAUCCAAAUUCUUGUAGUCCAGUAGAAGAAAUACUAUGUUAUGAUGAAUCUGUAGAUUGGCACUCAACAUCCAUCCUGCCUUCCUUUGAGUGGGAUCCUCAAAGCCGGGGGCUACAAAGCCUGGAAAGCUAAAACCUAAGCACAAAAGCGGAAACUACGUUUCCCAGAUUCUGUGGCCGGUAGGUUCUGGAUGUGAUUUAGGUUCCACCACUCAUAGGCACUCGAGGGAAAUUAAGAAAACAGAAGCAAAUAAGAAGCCGUAACAUCUUCUCCUUCUGCUCUCUCUGCUGGCACCUGCAGUCACUGAGUUGUUGGUUGUGGGUGUUCAGAGAUGAGCCCAGGGCGCCUAUUCUACUGCAGCAGAUUGCAGCCAAGAUGGUGUGGUCCUGGGGCUGGAGACGCACAAGAUCACGGUGGCUUCCUGAUCAUGGUGCUUCCCAGUCGUGGCAGUGGUGACAUGAUUCGGGAGCCAGUGGCUUUCUGAUCACAGAGGAGGCAGCAGCAAACUUAAGAGUCUUGGCACUGAUCUGUGAUUCCUUCUAGAUUUUGUUUCUUUAGUGCUCCCAACAAUUUGGCAAGUCAUUUAAUAUCCUGUAAAACAUUUAUUCCUGUUUAAACUACACUGUCUCUGCAAUUAAACUUUGACUACUAUAGAAAUAAAUAUCUAAAAUGCAAAGUAGAAAGGGGUAAGCACCAUUAGAGAUACAGAUUAGGCAAAUCUUGGAAGAACUGGAUGUCGGGCUUAUGCUAUGGGAGAUAGAGAGAAACAUCCCCUUCAAGGAGCCCAAGACCUCUCGACAGUCUCAUGUCAUGAGUUUUCCUUUUCCAGGGAAGCAGAUGGAAUUAACAGACACUGUGACUACUGCCCUAUUUAAGUGAGCACACAAGCCUGUGCGUCUAUUCCCAGAGAUGGCUGCAAGACUGUGAUGACGAAACAGAAAUACUACAUUUGCAAAUUCCCUGGCAAUAGUCCUCUUUAAUUUUAGAAAUUAUACUCACUUGCUUUUAAAGUUUCUAUUAAAAAGUUACAGAAAAAUGUGUUUAUCAGUAUCCUCCAUAAUGUUAUAUAAAUUCAAUGUCCUCUGAGGGAAAUAACAGAAGGGAUCGUGACAUUUCAUUGUCUGCCUCUGUUUCUGCUAUAGAUUCCUGCAUGACAAAUUACCCCCAAACUUCGUGACUUAAAAUAACAAUCAUUUUAUUACAUAUUA
ensembl:lncRNA